rnacentral:rRNA from 1 species
GGUUAAGCGACUAAGCGUACACGGUGGAUGCCCUGGCAGUCAGAGGCGAUGAAGGACGUGCUAAUCUGCGAAAAGCGUCGGUAAGGUGAUAUGAACCGUUAUAACCGGCGAUGUCCGAAUGGGGAAACCCAGUGUGUUUCGACACACUAUCAUUAACUGAAUCCAUAGGUUAAUGAGGCGAACCGGGGGAACUGAAACAUCUAAGUACCCCGAGGAAAAGAAAUCAACCGAGAUUCCCCCAGUAGCGGCGAGCGAACGGGGAGGAGCCCAGAGCCUGAAUCAGUGUGUGUGUUAGUGGAAGCGUCUGGAAAGGCGUGCGAUACAGGGUGACAGCCCCGUACACAAAAAUGCACAUGCUGUGAGCUCGAUGAGUAGGGCGGGACACGUGGUAUCCUGUCUGAAUAUGGGGGGACCAUCCUCCAAGGCUAAAUACUCCUGACUGACCGAUAGUGAACCAGUACCGUGAGGGAAAGGCGAAAAGAACCCCGGCGAGGGGAGUGAAAAAGAACCUGAAACCGUGUACGUACAAGCAGUGGGAGCCCUGAUUUAUCAGGGUGACUGCGUACCUUUUGUAUAAUGGGUCAGCGACUUAUAUUCUGUAGCAAGGUUAACCGAAUAGGGGAGCCGGAGGGAAACCGAGUCUUAACUGGGCGUUAAGUUGCAGGGUAUAGACCCGAAACCCGGUGAUCUAGCCAUGGGCAGGUUGAAGGUUGGGUAACACUAACUGGAGGACCGAACCGACUAAUGUUGAAAAAUUAGCGGAUGACUUGUGGCUGGGGGUGAAAGGCCAAUCAAACCGGGAGAUAGCUGGUUCUCCCCGAAAGCUAUUUAGGUAGCGCCUCGUGAAUUCAUCUCCGGGGGUAGAGCACUGUUUCGGCAAGGGGGUCAUCCCGACUUACCAACCCGAUGCAAACUGCGAAUACCGGAGAAUGUUAUCACGGGAGACACACGGCGGGUGCUAACGUCCGUCGUGAAGAGGGAAACAACCCAGACCGCCAGCUAAGGUCCCAAAGUCAUGGUUAAGUGGGAAACGAUGUGGGAAGGCCCAGACAGCCAGGAUGUUGGCUUAGAAGCAGCCAUCAUUUAAAGAAAGCGUAAUAGCUCACUGGUCGAGUCGGCCUGCGCGGAAGAUGUAACGGGGCUAAACUAUGCACCGAAGCUGCGGCAGCGACACUGUGUGUUGUUGGGUAGGGGAGCGUUCUGUAAGCCUGUGAAGGUGUGCUGUGAGGCAUGCUGGAGGUAUCAGAAGUGCGAAUGCUGACAUAAGUAACGAUAAAGCGGGUGAAAAGCCCGCUCGCCGGAAGACCAAGGGUUCCUGUCCAACGUUAAUCGGGGCAGGGUGAGUCGACCCCUAAGGCGAGGCCGAAAGGCGUAGUCGAUGGGAAACAGGUUAAUAUUCCUGUACUUGGUGUUACUGCGAAGGGGGGACGGAGAAGGCUAUGUUGGCCGGGCGACGGUUGUCCCGGUUUAAGCGUGUAGGCUGGUUUUCCAGGCAAAUCCGGAGAAUCAAGGCUGAGGCGUGAUGACGAGGCACUACGGUGCUGAAGCAACAAAUGCCCUGCUUCCAGGAAAAGCCUCUAAGCAUCAGGUAACAUCAAAUCGUACCCCAAACCGACACAGGUGGUCAGGUAGAGAAUACCAAGGCGCUUGAGAGAACUCGGGUGAAGGAACUAGGCAAAAUGGUGCCGUAACUUCGGGAGAAGGCACGCUGAUGGUAGGUGAAGCGACUUGCUCGUGGAGCUGAAAUCAGUCGAAGAUACCAGCUGGCUGCAACUGUUUAUUAAAAACACAGCACUGUGCAAACACGAAAGUGGACGUAUACGGUGUGACGCCUGCCCGGUGCCGGAAGGUUAAUUGAUGGGGUCAGCGCAAGCGAAGCUCUUGAUCGAAGCCCCGGUAAACGGCGGCCGUAACUAUAACGGUCCUAAGGUAGCGAAAUUCCUUGUCGGGUAAGUUCCGACCUGCACGAAUGGCGUAAUGAUGGCCAGGCUGUCUCCACCCGAGACUCAGUGAAAUUGAACUCGCUGUGAAGAUGCAGUGUACCCGCGGCAAGACGGAAAGACCCCGUGAACCUUUACUAUAGCUUGACACUGAACACUGGUCCUUGAUGUGUAGGAUAGGUGGGAGGCUUUGAAGUGUGGACGCCAGUCUGCAUGGAGCCGUCCUUGAAAUACCACCCUUUAAUGGCUGGUGUUCUAACGUGGGCCCGUAAUCCGGGUUGCGGACAGUGUCUGGUGGGUAGUUUGACUGGGGCGGUCUCCUCCUAAAGAGUAACGGAGGAGCACGAAGGUUGGCUAAUCCUGGUCGGACAUCAGGAGGUUAGUGCAAUGGCAUAAGCCAGCUUGACUGCGAGCGUGACGGCGCGAGCAGGUGCGAAAGCAGGUCAUAGUGAUCCGGUGGUUCUGAAUGGAAGGGCCAUCGCUCAACGGAUAAAAGGUACUCCGGGGAUAACAGGCUGAUACCGCCCAAGAGUUCAUAUCGACGGCGGUGUUUGGCACCUCGAUGUCGGCUCAUCACAUCCUGGGGCUGAAGUAGGUCCCAAGGGUAUGGCUGUUCGCCAUUUAAAGUGGUACGCGAGCUGGGUUUAGAACGUCGUGAGACAGUUCGGUCCCUAUCUGCCGUGGGCGCUGGAGAACUGAGGGGGGCUGCUCCUAGUACGAGAGGACCGGAGUGGACGCAUCACUGGUGUUCGGGUUGUCAUGCCAAUGGCACUGCCCGGUAGCUAAAUGCGGAAGAGAUAAGUGCUGAAAGCAUCUAAGCACGAAACUUGCCCCGAGAUGAGUUCUCCCUGAGACUUAGAGUCUCCUGAAGGAACGUUGAAGACGACGACGUUGAUAGGCCGGGUGUGUAAGCGCAGCGAUGCGUUGAGCUAACCGGUACUAAUGAACCGUGAGGCUUAACCUUACAACGCCGAAGGUGUUU